rnacentral:rRNA from 1 species
CAAGGAAUUUUCCGCAAUGGGCGCAAGCCUGACGGAGCAACGCCGCGUGGGGGAUGACGCUUUUCGGAGUGUAAACCCCUUUUCUUCGGGAAGAAGAUCUGACGGUACCGGAGGAAGAAGGACCGGCUAACUACGUGCCAGCAGCCGCGGUAAUACGUAGGGUCCGAGCGUUGUCCGGAGUUACUGGGCGUAAAGCGCGCGCAGGCGGCUCGUUAAGACCGGCGUGAAAGCCCCCGGCUCAACCGGGGAGGGUCGUUGGUGACUGGCGAGCUUGAAGACAGCAGGGGCAGGUGGAAUUCCCGGUGUAGUGGUGAAAUGCGUAGAGAUCGGGAGGAACACCCGUGGCGAAGGCGGCCUGCUGGGCUGGUCUUGACGCUGAGGCGCGAAGGCGUGGGGAGCG